UACAGAGGUCCCAAGCGUUGUUCGGAUUCAUUGGGCGUAAAGGGUGCGUAGGCGGCGCGGUAAGUCAGGUGUGAAAUCUCGGGGCUCAACCCCGAAACUGCACUUGAUACUGCCUUGCUAGAGUACUGGAGAGGAGAUUGGAAUUUACGGUGUAGCAGUGAAAUGCGUAGAUAUCGUAAGGAAGACCAGUGGCGAAGGCGAAUCUCUGGACAGUUACUGACACUGAGGCACGAAGGCCAGGGGAGCAAACGGG
rnacentral:rRNA from 1 species